rnacentral:rRNA from 1 species
CGGGAGGCAGCAGUAGGGAAUYYUCCRCRAUGRACGAAAGUYUGACGGAGCAACGCCGCGUGAGUGAUGAAGGUUUUCGGAUCGUAARGCYYUGUUGUUAGGGAAGAACAAGUGCCGUUCGAAUAGGGCSGCACCUUGACGGUACCUAACCAGAAAGCCCCGGCUAACUACGUGCCAGCAGCCGCGGUAAUACGUAGGGGGCAAGCGUUGUCCGGAAUUAUUGGGCGUAAAGCGCGCGCAGGCGGUCCUUUAAGUCUGAUGUGAAAGCCCACGGCUCAACCGUGGAGGGUCAUUGGAAACUGGAGGACUUGAGUACAGAAGAGGAGAGUGGAAUUCCACGUGUAGCGGUGAAAUGCGUAGAGAUGUGGAGGAACACCAGUGGCGAAGGCGACUCUCUGGUCUGUAACUGACGCUGAGGCGCGAAAGCGUGGGGAGCGAACAGGAUUAGAUACCCUGGUAGUCCACGCCGUAAACGAUGAGUGCUAGGUGUUAGGGGGUUUCCGCCCCUUAGUGCUGAAGUUAACGCAUUAAGCACUCCGCCUGGGGAGUACGGCCGCAAGGCUGAAACUCAAAAGAAUUGACGGGGGCCCGCACAAGCGGUGGAGCAUGUGGUUUAAUUCGACGCAACGCGAAGAACCUUACCAGGUCUUGACAUCCUCUGCAAUCGGUAGAGAUACCGAGUUCCCUUCGGGGACAGAGUGACAGGUGGUGCAUGGUUGUCGUCAGCUCGUGUCGUGAGAUGUUGGGUUAAGUCCCGCAACGAGCGCAACCCUUGAUCUUAGUUGCCAGCAUUUAGUUGGGCACUCUAAGGUGAMYGCCGGUGACAAACCGGAGGAAGGUGGGGAUGACGUCAAAUCAUCAUGCCCCUUAUGACCUGGGCUACACACGUGCUACAAUGGAUGGAACAAAGGGAAGCAAAACCGCGAGGUCAAGCAAAUCCCAUAAAACCAUUCUCAGUUCGGAUUGCAGGCUGCAACUCGCCUGCAUGAAGCCGGAAUCGCUAGUAAUCGCGGAUCAGCAUGCCGCGGUGAAUACGUUCCCGGGCCUUGUACACACCGCCCGUCACACCACGAGAGUUGGUAACACCCGAAGUCG